rnacentral:rRNA from 1 species
AGAGUUUGAUCCUGGCUCAGAGCGAACGCUGGCGGCAGGCUUAACACAUGCAAGUCGAACGGGCGUAGCAAUACGUCAGUGGCAGACGGGUGAGUAACGCGUGGGAACGUACCUUUUGGUUCGGAACAACACAGGGAAACUUGUGCUAAUACCGGAUAAGCCCUUACGGGGAAAGAUUUAUCGCCGAAAGAUCGGCCCGCGUCUGAUUAGCUAGUUGGUGAGGUAAUGGCUCACCAAGGCGACGAUCAGUAGCUGGUCUGAGAGGAUGAUCAGCCACACUGGGACUGAGACACGGCCCAGACUCCUACGGGAGGCAGCAGUGGGGAAUAUUGGACAAUGGGCGAAAGCCUGAUCCAGCCAUGCCGCGUGAGUGAUGAAGGCCCUAGGGUUGUAAAGCUCUUUUGUGCGGGAAGAUAAUGACGGUACCGCAAGAAUAAGCCCCGGCUAACUUCGUGCCAGCAGCCGCGGUAAUA